ensembl:miRNA cin-mir-4214 cin-mir-4214
UAUGUGAAAGUAAUGGUGCCGCGUUGUACAGAAAACCUGUUUUACAAGAAAGAACAUGCGGUACCAUACCUGCUACGCGUG